CAGUGGAAUGCAUGCAAUGGAAUGAGCUUUACAGAAUUUAUAUAAGGUCUUCAAGAUGUGAUCCAAUGAGGUGCUUGCAACAGGAAGGUUUUCCCAGAGGCAUGGGUUGAAGGUAGCACAGUAUACCUUUUCUGAACCACUGACAGGGGGUGUCGCAACAGGAAUCAAUAAGACAACUUUUGCUUUACUGCCACACAGGAACAAUGGUAUGGCAUGGGGACACCAGGGAUUGAUAAGGUAAAUCUGCCGGUGGCUCUCCAAUGGAUCCUGAUCACCUCCUAUCACAUUACCACUUUUGUCUUGUGCUGCCUUUGUCCAUGGAUCAUAACAACUCAAAUAGACAAGUCUCUGUAUCUCACAAGAUCCUCCUAGUGGUAUAACUGAAAAAUGGAAGUGUUUAGGAAGCACAUCAGCCAUGAAGAAGAGACCAUGUAAAGUUACAGUGGGUCGCCAAAUCCUGAGGUCUAUA